rnacentral:rRNA from 1 species
AUUGAACGCUGGCGGCAGGCCUAACACAUGCAAGUCGAACGAGUGGCGGACGGGUGAGUAAUGUCUGGGCAACUGCCCCAGGGAGGGGGAUAAAUACUGGAAACGGUAGCUCAUACAGGAUACCCUCCGAUGUGCCCAGAUGGGAUUUGCUAGUGGGUGGGGUAAAGGCUCACCUAGGCGAAGAUCCCUAGCUGGUCUGAGAGGAUGACCAGCCACAAUGGAACGUAGACACGGUCCAGACUCCUACGGGAGGCAGCAGUGGGGAAUAUUGCACAAUGGGCGCAAGCCUGAUGCAGCCAUGCCGCGUGUAUGAUGAAGGCCUUCGGGUUGUAAAGUACUUUCAGCGGGGAGGCGGUACCCGCAUAAGAAGCACCGGCUAACUCCGUGCCAGCAGCCGCGGUAAUUC